GAGGGAAACAUGACUGCCUACAGCUCUGGAGCCUCCCGUAUCAUAAGUCGUCACCACCAGAGUGGGACUGGCUGUUUGAAAAGUCCCAGGCAGCUGGAAAUAAGGGUCUACCUCCCCGUGGUGGUAUCACCAGCGUGGACCACGCUCAGCCUGAGGGGAUGCCGCACUCGCAGCCUUUCCAGAUGCCCUGUUCAGUGCUGGAUCUCAUGCUGGGUGCUGGGGUGACAUCAGUGAAUUCUCCCAGGCCCUUUCCCCAGGGCUCAGAGGAUCAGGGGCGCCAGGACACCAGCAAGCCAUGAGUGGGGGAGGGGACAAUCCCUGGCUCACUUUGGCAGUGUGUGACUUCUCUUUGUGUGCCUUGAUCUGGACCGGGUCUUUCUCCUUUCUUCCCUUUACUGCACCCUGGCUGCACGCUUGCCAGUCUGCCCAUCUGGAUGUCCAGGAGAGCCAAUUUCCUUUCUUCUGGGGCGAUAAUUUUUCAAACGAGGUCAGGUGAUUUCUAAGAAUCUGUAGCGGGAGUGUCUGUAUAAGCUUAAUAAAAACAAAUCCAUCAGCAGAAUUUACGUGACUCACCUGGGAACAGACAAAAAUUCCCCCGACAGUCUUCAUACAAAGGACGGAAAAUGCUAGCCCCCUGAGGCGUGGGCUGCUGAGGGAUCAAGAAGGUAGAAAGAGAGGAUUCAGAACAUGCCCGGCAUUUUGUGAAUGAAACGUUCUUGAGUUACUUGUGUUUGUCAUGUGCGUAGAGUGCAAAUAGCAUGUAUUAUGGUCCACGUUGCACACCUGAUGUAUUUACUGUGUUAAAGUUGUGCAACACGGUAUAGAAGCAUUUUCCUUCUGGACUCCUGGGUGGCUGUCAGCUGAGCGUCCAACUCUCGAUUUCAGCUCAGGUCAUGAGCUCCCAGUUUGAGUCCCACAUUGGUCUCCACACUGAUGGUGCGGAGCCUUCUUGGG